CUGCUCGCGUUGCGUUGGGACCGCCGGGCUGCGGCUGCGGCUGCGGCUAGCAACUAGCACUAGCAGCUGAGCUCCACGGGAACAGAGCAGCAUGUGCGCGCGUGGCAGGACACGCAUACACACAUCGACACAGCACAGUAAGCACACGCACAGAGAAGAAGGUGCCGCGCCAUGAUAGCCUGUGUCGCCGGUGCUGCUCCUAGUCAAGGAGUAGGUUUGCUGGUUUGGUAACCAUCGAUCGGCAUCCAAUCCAUCAUGCUUCACAACGCGCGUUCAGGUACCUUUUAAUUUCUUCCUCCCCCACCCCCCACAUGGACAUCUCUCCUUUCCAGGUCUCAUGGCACCAUGCUCCCUCCGCCAUGGCUAGGCAGGAGCAGGAGCUGCCGGGACGCAAAAAUAUCACACGGGCGGACUCAUGCUUUGCUCCGGUCCACGCAGGCUCCAGAGGCUUCGGCAGUGGCGUGCAUCAUGUUGCUGCACCACCGACCUGCUGCGUGCAUCAUGUGU
rnacentral:lncRNA from 1 species